AUGAAGUUCAACAGGGACAAAUGCAAGAUACUUCACUUCGGCAGAAAAAAUGGAAAUCAAAGAUACAGAAUGGGGGACGCCUGGCUUGACAGCAGUGUGUGCGAAAAAGAUCUUGGAGUCCUCGUGGACAACAAGUUAAACAUGAGCCUACAAUGUGAUGCGGCAGCUAAAAAAGCCAAUGGGAUUUUGGCCUGCAUCAAUAGGGGAAUAACGUCUAGAUCCAGGGAAGUCAUGCUCCCCCUCUAUUCUGCCUUGGUCAGACCACACCUGGAAUACUGUGUCCAGUUUUGGGCACCGCAGAUGAAGGGAGAUGCUGACAAGCUGGAAAGCGUCCAGAGGAGGGCAACUAAAAUGAUUAAGGGUCUGGAGAACAAGCCCUAUGAGGAGAGGCUUAAAGAGCUGGGCAUGUUUAGCCUGCAGAAGAGAAGGCUGAGAGGAGACAUGAUAGCCAUGUACAAAUAUGUGAGGGGAAGUCAUAGGGAGGAGGGAGCAAGCUUAUUUUCUGCUGCCCUGCAGACUAGGACACGGAACAAUGGCUUCAAACUACAGGAAAGGAGAUUCCACCUGAACAUCAGGAAGAACUUCCUCACUGUGAGGGCUGUUCGGCAGUGGAACUCUCUCCCCCGGGCCGUGGUGGAGGCUCCUUCUUUGGAGGCUUUUAAGCAGAGGCUGGAAGUUCUUCUUAAUGUUCAGGUGGAAUCUCCUUUCCUGUAAUUUGAACGUAUUGCUCCGAGUCCUUGAAACUCAUCACACAAUGGAAAUUCAGCAUUCUCACUUUCAUUUUUUUUAAAAAAUAAUUUUAUUAGAGGUUUUCAAACUACUUAUACAUCGAAGGAGGGGGAACAAUAUUUAUUAUAUAUAUAUAUACACACACACACACACACACACACAUAUAUAAUAUAUUUAAAAAAAUUGAACUUCCGUUCAGCCCUUGUUCCUGUGCAAAUUUCUUUUGAUCUGCUUCUUUUAUAUUUUCUCCUGUUUACUUUCAAAGAAAGUUUUUUUAUCUAUCUAUUCUUUAAGGAUUGUACUUUAAAUUCAUAUACUCUUCGAAUACCGACCAGUCCGUCUUCUUUACACCCUUGCCAGUGUUUUUUUCUUCUUCAAAUAAUAUGUUAGCUGGUCCAUAUCUUUUAUCUCCCAUACUUUUUUUAACCAGUCUUCUCUAUCUGGUAUCUUCUCCAGCUUCCACAUCUUUGCAAAAACCAUCCUUGCUGCCGUUGACAGAAUAUGAUUAGUUUUUCUUUAUUAAUAUACUGAAAAAUGUCUUUGUCCAGAAUGCCCAAAAGGUACGUCUCUGGUUUCAUUAAGUAGUUUGUCUUUAAAAUUUCCUGACUUUCACCAUGCACCAUAUUCCAGAAUUCUCUUGCUUUAUUACAAGUCCACCAACAAUGAUAGAAUGUGCCCUCCUUGAUCUUACAUUUCCAACAUUUAUCGUUGGAUGGUUUAUACAUUAGGCUUAGUUUUUUGGGAGUCAGAUACCAUCUAUGUAUAAUCUCACUUUCAUUGAUACUCUGUAGGUCAACAGAGGCAGCAUCAUCAUAGGACACUGCAUUGCCCACAAGGGAGCCUCCCUGUGUUCCUUUUGGAACAACGAGGCUAGUGUGGAGGAAAGCCACAUGGUGACAAUUCCCCAUGCAUGAUGGGAAAGUGUCCACUGGCGCGGAUUGCCCGCUGCCCUGGAUUCACUAUGGAGGCUGGCAAAUCUGAACACUCUCAUACAGAAUCUUCAUUUUUGGUUCAUGCUUUAGUUGCUUUGCCAAGUCACACCAUUCUAUAAAUAAGCAUUGUCUCCUAACUCAUCAGUUAACUGCUCAUUUUAAUGCUUCAACUUUAAUACAGCAUUCAUUUCCAUUUUCUCCCCCCUUUCUUUCACUUGCCAUGAUAACAUAUCUAUUGCAAUAAGCAAAGCCAAAUAAAUUCAACUUUCAAACAAGUACUAAUUCACAUACCAUCACUUUAUUAAUGGGAUUGGUUUUAGCCUAUGUUCACAAAGCUUCUUUUAAUUUCUGUGAAGUGUGUCUCUGUAUAUGUGUAUUUCCUUGGACAAAUAAACUUAUUAUAAAAGCUGAAUGCUCUUGAAUUACAAACAGCAUCAUUGAAUUCAUUUGAGUACACAAGGUCCAAUUAAUACUUUAAUUCCCUUAUGGCUAAGAAGCAAUGUUAUAAUUGGAUCAUGUUAUCAUAGUUUGCAAUAAAAAAUAUAAUAUUGAAGUUAGAUAUUUUUUAAAAAAGAAUGUAAAAGAAAGGCUACAUAGAUGAUGAUCAUUCUUAUGACACAUUAAAAACUUCUCAGUGUCACUUGAAUUAAGUGGAUUUGGGGUCUGUGAGAUCUGUUACUUUCACUCAUUUUUAGGGAAUUUGUGUCCAAGCUAAAAAGAGUUGUCAUUAUCUGGUUGGGAUAAAACAUUACUUUUUUGACAUUGACCGUGCUGACUGAGGGAUUCUAAGAGUUAUAAUUGAAAUACACAUUUUAUAAAUCUUGCUACAGGGGAAAAAAUUAGCUUUUGUUCUAGUCCCACACUAGAAGGAAGCUGAGUGGCUUGUUUUAUAUUUUUAGGAUGCAACACUGCUCCCAAGAUAUUUGAAACAUUUGAGCCAAGGCGCAUAACAACUAUAUAUUUCUUGAGCUUUUCUGAUAGACUCUGUGGAAGCUCCCAGGCACACACAAAAUCCUUUAAUAUACCCUCUGAAUGUCUCCCAAUUAUAUGUAUGUAUGCAGCUUUGCCACAGCAGGCUCUGCCCAAAGUAGCAUGUAAUAAGCAGGAAAAUGUCAAGACACAUCGUAUUUGAAGACAGGACAGUGCA
rnacentral:lncRNA from 1 species